rnacentral:rRNA from 1 species
GACAGAGGGUGCAAACGUUGUUCGGAAUUACUGGGCGUAAAGCGCGUGUAGGCGGCAAUAUAAGUCGGAUGUGAAAUCCCGCGGCUCAACCGUAGAAGUGCACCCGAAACUGUAUCGCUAGAGUCCCGGAGAGGAUGGUGGAAUACUUGGUGUAGAGGUGAAAUUCGUAGAUAUCAAGUGGAACACCGGUGGCGAAGGCGGCCAUCUGGACGGUGACUGACGCUGAGACGCGAAAGCGUGGGUAGCAAACAGG